UGCAUUCUUCUUAUUGAUGGAGAUAAGGCACGAGUAGAAACCACAUUCGUCAAUGAAAGUUACGUUCUGUGUGGGGCUAAAGAGUACAUGUAUGAUGACGACAUCCUUCAGAACAAUGUAAGCGUCUCCGUUCAAUGGAAUUACCAACACUAUAUAGAUGACCCUAAUGAUGCAUAUGUGACUCUGUACAAGUGUUCAGCCAACGAUGGAAGCUGCAGCCGGUGUCUAUCUCCGGAAGCAACACCUUCGUUUCUAAACUGCGGUUGGUGUGGGAAUGACUGUAAUGUAAUUGAGAGUGAUGUUUGUCAGAGCAAUCGAUUUGUCAAUCAGAAUGAGACCAAUCUUUGUUCAGCACCAGUAAUAACUGAAUUUUAUCCCAUAUCAGGUCCAAUUAAUGGCAUUACAAGAUUGGAAAUAAUCGGAACCGACCUAGGAGUGGCAUUUAAUGAUGUACUAAAUGUUACAAUAGGAGACUUGGUGUGUAGCCUGACUGACAUGGAUUCCUACUAUCAACCAGGGCAGAGGUGAA